rnacentral:rRNA from 1 species
AGUGAACGCUGGCGGCGUGCCUAAUACAUGCAAGUCGAACGGAGUGGCGCACGGGUGAGUAAUGUAUAGCUAAUCUGCCCUACACUAGAGGACAACAGUUGGAAACGACUGCUAAUACUCUAUAGUGUAGGAUGAGGGUAUAUUGUAUCGGUUCGUUGGUGAGGUCAUGGCUCACCCAGGCUAUGACGCAUAACUGGUCUGAGAGGAGACUCAGUCACACUGGAAUGGAUACACGGUCCAGACUCCUACGGUAGGCAGCAGUAGUGAAGAUUGCUCAAUGGGGGAAACCCUGAAGCAGCAACGCCGCGUGGAGGAUGACACUUUUCGGAGCGUAAACUCCUUUUGUUAGGGAAGCGGUACCUAACGAAUAAGCACCGGCUAACUCCGUGCCAGCAGCCGCGGUAAUUC